AUUGAACGCUGGCGGCAGGCCUAACACAUGCAAGUCGAGCGAGCGGCGGACGGGUGAGUAAUGUAUGGGGAUCUGCCCGAUGGAGGGGGAUAACUACUGGAAAAGGUGGCUAAUACCGCAUACGAUCCGAUGAACCCAGAUGGGAUUAGCUAGUAGGUGGGGUAAAGGCUCACCUAGGCGACGAUCCCUAGCUGGUCUGAGAGGAGUAUCCGCCACACUUGGACUGAGACACGGCCCAGACUCCUACGGGAGGCAGCAGUGGGGAAUAUUGCCCAAUGUGCGCAAGCCUGAUGCAGCCAUGCCGCUUGUAUGAAGCAGGCCUUAGGGUUUUAAAUUACUUUCAGCGGGGAGGCGUUACCCGCAGAAGAAGCCCCCGCUAACUCCGUGCCAGCCGCCGCGGUAAUUC
rnacentral:rRNA from 1 species